UGGGGAAUUUUGGACAAUGGGCGAAAGCCUGAUCCAGCCAUGCCGCGUGCAGGAUGAAGGCCUUCGGGUUGUAAACUGCUUUUGUACGGAACGAAAAGACUCCUUCUAAUAAGGGGUCCAUGACGGUACCGUAAGAUAAGC
rnacentral:rRNA from 1 species